rnacentral:rRNA from 1 species
AGGGUGCGAGCGUUGUUCGGAAUUAUUGGGCGUAAAGCGCUUGUAGGCGGUACGUCAAGUCGCGUGUGAAAUCCCCAGGCUUAACCUGGGAAGUGCGCGCGAAACUGACGAGCUUGAGUGCCGGAGAGGGUCGCGGAAUUCCCGGUGUAGAGGUGAAAUUCGUAGAUAUCGGGAGGAACACCAGUGGCGAAGGCGGCGGCCUGGACGGACACUGACGCUGAGACGCGAAAGCGUGGGGAGCAAACAGG